rnacentral:rRNA from 1 species
AUUGAACGCUGGCGGCAGGCCUAACACAUGCAAGUCGAGCGGUUGACGGGAGCUUGCUCCCUGAUUCAGCGGCGGACGGGUGAGUAAUGCCUAGGAAUCUGCCUAUUUGUGGGGGACAACGUUUCGAAAGGAACGCUAAUACCGCAUACGUCCUACGGGAGAAAGCAGGGGACCUUCGGGCCUUGCGCUAAUAGAUGAGCCUAGGUCGGAUUAGCUUGUUGGUGAGGUAAUGGCUCACCAAGGCGACGAUCCGUAACUGGUCUGAGAGGAUGAUCAGUCACUCUGGAACUGAGACACGGUCCAGACUCCUACGGGAGGCAGCAGUGGGGAAUAUUGGACAAUGGGCGAAAGCCUGAUCCAGCCAUGCCGCGUGUGUGAAGAAGGUCUUCGGAUUGUAAAGCACUUUAAGUUGGGAGGAAGGGUUGUAGAUUAAUACUCUGCAAUUUUGACGUUACCGACAGAAUAAGCACCGGCUAACUCUGUGCCAGCCGCCGCCGUAAUAC